rnacentral:tRNA from 1 species
UUAAGCAAGUAGUAUAUAUAGUACACUGGGCUCAUGCCCCGAUGGAGGGAGUUUUUCUCCCCUGGCU